rnacentral:rRNA from 1 species
UACGAAGGGUGCAAGCGUUACUCGGAAUUACUGGGCGUAAAGCGUGCGUAGGUGGUUUGUUAAGUCUGUUGUGAAAGCCCCGGGCUCAACCUGGGAAUGGCAAUGGAUACUGGCAGGCUAGAGUGCGGUAGAGGGUAGUGGAAUUCCCGGUGUAGCGGUGAAAUGCGUAGAGAUCGGGAGGAACACCAGUGGCGAAGGCGGCUACCUGGACCAGCACUGACACUGAGGCACGAAAGCUAGGGGAGCAAACGGG